AACGAACGCUGGCGGCAGGCCUAACACAUGCAAGUCGAACGAUAUAGUGGCAGACGGGUGAGUAACGCGUGGGAAUAUGCCCUUCAGUAAGGAAUAGCUUUUGGAAACGAAAGGUAAUACCUUAUACGCCCUCCGGGGGAAAGAUUUAUCGCUGAAGGAUUAGCCCGCGUUAGAUUAGUUAGUUGGUGGGGUAAUGGCCUACCAAGACUACGAUCUAUAGCUGGUCUGAGAGGAUGAUCAGCCACACUGGGACUGAGACACGGCCCAGACUCCUACGGGAGGCAGCAGUGGGGAAUCUUGCACAAUGGGCGAAAGCCUGAUGCAGCCAUGCCGCGUGAAUGAUGAAGGCCUUAGGGUUGUAAAAUUCUUUCGCCAGGGAUGAUAAUGACAGUACCUGGUAAAGAAGCCCCGGCUAACUUCGUGCCAGCCGCCGCGGUA
rnacentral:rRNA from 1 species